rnacentral:rRNA from 1 species
ACGGAGGUCCCGAGCGUUGUUCGGAAUUACUGGGCGUAAAGGGAGCGCAGGCGGACAGGUCAGUCUGAAGUGGAAAUCCGGGGCUCAACCUCGGACUUGCUUCGGAUACUGCUUGUCUUGAGUUCGUGAGAGGAAGAUAGAAUUCAGGGUGUAGCGGUGAAAUGCUCAGAUAUCCGGAGGAAUACCGGUGGCGAAAGCGGUCUUCUGGCACGAAACUGACGCUGAGGCUCGAAAGCGUGGGGAGCAAACUG